rnacentral:misc_RNA from 1 species
GGUGAAAUACCAAUUCAGUUGUGCCACUUGUUCAAAUUAAGAUUGGUUGAUUUUUCUAAUAAUAAUCUUUCUGGUCCUGUUCCCCCUUGCAUAAGCCUUCGUAGGUAUUCUGAUCGCGUAAGUGUUUACUGGCGUUCUCCUAGUGGUUUUAUGACUCAACCUGUGGAGGUUACAACAAAGAAUGCAUCGCGUUAUUUCCAAGCAAGGAUUCUCAGGCUUAUGUUAGGACUCGAUCUAUCCUGCAACAAUUUGACAGGUGAA